GGAAGGGUGCCAGAGCGGCCGAAUGGGACUGUCUCGAAAACAGUUGUGGUGUCACAGCCACCGCGGGUUCAAAUCCCGCCUCUUCCGCCA
rnacentral:tRNA from 2 species